AUUGAACGCUGGCGGCAGGCCUAACACAUGCAAGUCGAACGGUAACAGGAAGAAGCUUGCUUCUUUGCUGACGAGUGGCGGACGGGUGAGUAAUGUCUGGGAAACUGCCUGAUGGAGGGGGAUAACUACUGGAAACGGUAGCUAAUACCGCAUAACGUCGCAAGACCAAAGAGGGGGACCUUCGGGCCUCUUGCCAUCGGAUGUGCCCAGAUGGGAUUAGCUAGUAGGUGGGGUAACGGCUCACCUAGGCGACGAUCCCUAGCUGGUCUGAGAGGAUGAGCAGACGCAAUGGUACUGAGACACGGUACAGAGGCGUAAGGGAGGCAGCAGUGGGGAAUAUGGGACAAGGGGGGAAGGCGGGAUACAGAAAUAAAGGGGGGGUGAAGAAGGACUUUGGGUUGUAAAGCACUUUUGUGGGGAAAGAAAAGCAGCAGGUUAAUACCCGGGUGCGCUGACGGGACAGAAAGAAGAAGAACAGGCUAACUUCGUG
rnacentral:rRNA from 1 species